UAUUAUGGAAAUAUAGUGUCAUGUAUUAAAGAGAAGGGUAUUAUUUUAUGCAGUGCAUAUAAACUCUAAGAUAAAUUACUUGAUAAACGAAGCGAAUUGAAAUAUCUUAGUAGCUUUAGGAAAAUAAAUCAAAAGAGAUUUUAUGAGUAGUGUGAACGAAAAUAAAACAGCCUAUUUAUAAUAAGUAAAAUGGUUUAAAAACUGUUUGAAUAUAACCUACUCGUUGGGCGUUCCGCAAGGUUGACGUUUCGGUUGGUAGAUGGGGAACCUACCUCAAAGGCUAAAUAUAAUACAUGAGCAUCAGAGAAAAGUACCGUAAGGGAAUUAUUGAAAUAGUAGUUUUAUAAGCAGCUCGAUAUAUUUUCUAAAAUAAGAGCGUACCUUUUGCAUAAUGGGUCACCAAGUUAACAUUAGAUGCAAGCAUAAUUGAGUAGGGGUACACAGUCUUAAAACUAAUGCAGCGGGCUGCGAAAAAUCGGGUUGUUAUACUUUUAACUAAGUGACCUUUGAUCUAGUACACCUGACAUGGGUUCCCUUGACUGUAAUGGGGGAUGUAUAAAGUUUGUGAGAGUCUACUUCCCGUCGGGCAUCAAAAAGAUGUUCGGCGUCCAAUGAGGGGAAAUUUUCCUCCUGGAAGUGUGCCGGAGCAACUGAGAAUUGUAAAUCCGGCGAGAUUUUGUGGUUAAUACCCACUUAAUCCGACGACGGUAAAACAAGUCUAAUGUCUCCGAAAAAAAAAAUGCGUAGUUAAAACGAUCAUAAUGUAACAGAAAAUGAUAAGUGUCUAAAGUUAGACCCGAAGCCUAGUGAUCUUACUAUAGUCAGGGCUUAAGUGGCUCGAACGGGUUAUUUCUGCGAAACCUAUAAUAGUAGGCAAUUUAAGUAACAUUAUAGCAGGUACAGAACUUAAUCUCAGACCAGAUGUACAUAUUUCAUAUAUUUUAUUAAAGCCCUCCGGGCGUAGAUAGAUAUAUGAAAAUACAUUGUUCGCUGGUACAUAUCGGGGGGCCGUAGCAAGCUUUAUCGGUGAGUAUGUAGACUCGGAAUGGCUUAUAUGGAUCUUGAAUGAUCAGACAUAGAAUGAUAAGGUUGUAUGAAAAUUAUUGUUCAGUGAAAAUUAAGAAGGUAUUUAUUAGAGUCGACCAGAAGAUGGGCUUAGAAGCAGCCAUAAUUUAAAGACCUGCGUCGUAACAGAGCGCUUGUUAAAUCUUUAGAUGCAUCGAAAAUUUAACGGAUCUAAACAAUAUACCGAAACUUUGUCCUCAAUUAAUACCAUACACAAAUAUAUUUUAUUAAAGCUUGUUAUUAGCGGUAAUAUACCAAAUAAAAAAAAAUAACUAAAAAAAAGUGCUCGAGUCCCCUAAUCCCCCGGAGGGGGAUCAGGGGACUUCCUAAUUAAAAAAUAAUAAAAAUGUAUUUUUAUUAUUUUUUAAUAAAGCUUUGCUGACUCAAGGCUAAUAAAAAAAAUAUAUUUUUAUAACCCUGCCCCAGAUCCCCCUCUUUAAUCCCCUCUAAAGAGGGGAUCAAGGGAUUAGGGCUAAUAAAAAAAAAUGCAUUUUUUUUUAUAAGCCUUCCAGGCGAAGGUUAUUAUUUAAUAAUUUUUAUUUAAGGGUUAAUUGCAGGGGUAGCAGAACGUUGGGUUAUAUUAGAUUUUGAAUUUUUUAAAUCAAAAUAAACAAAACCUCAAGUGAUAAUGGUGACAUGAGUAACGAAAAGAUCUAAUAUUCAGAGCAGUACCUUCAAUAAACUGAAAUAGAUGAGGAGGGAAGGGAUAUUGAGAACUCGCCUAAAGCUUAAGGUUACCAGUCAAACGGCCUCUAAGUUUAUAACCUGAAGGUUAAAACGAUGAGUUAACAGUGCUAAUUGCUCGCAUAUACUUCGUUUUUGGUCGAGGGGGUGAGGGGUGGUGAGAGGUAUAUGCUGCAUAUCGUGUAGAACAUUUGGGUGUAAAAUGAAGUUAACUGUUUCUCAUUUUAUGUAAGUGGAAAAUGUGCUGGAAAAAACCGAUAUGUUGUAAUUAGUGGCUAUGCUUUGGGUAAGCAUUUAGUGUGAGAGGGGGCAUAGUCGGGACCGUACCUGGAAACUACCGAACAAGUAAGCUAGUAGAGAAUACGAAGGCGUAAGAGAUAACAAUCAUAAAAAAGGAACUCGGCAAAUUGAUACCAAAACUUCGGGAAAAGGUAGGCUCAUUAGUCUUGAUUAAUACAAGUAAAAAGGAAGAAGCAUAAAAGGAUGUUGUACGACUGUUUAAUUAAAACACAGCACUUUGCGAAAAGAUGAUAAAUCUAAGUAUUGAGUGUGAUACCUGCCCGGUGCCGGCUGGUUAACGGAAAUAACUAAAUUGUCGUAAAUUUGGUGUAGAAGGAAACCCCGGCUAAUGGCGGCCUUAUACCUGAGGGUCCUAAGGUAGCGGAAUACCUUGGCCGUUAAAUGCGGUCUUUGCAUGAAUGGUGUAACGAUACAACAGCUGUCUCUAUGAUUGACUCUGUGAAAUUGGAAUAACUGUGGCAGAUACAGUUUACCUCUAGUUGGACGAGAAGACCCUAUGCAGCUUUACUGUUACUAAUUAUUUAGUAUAAUAACAGCAAAUUUGAGAAGAUAAGGUAAUCGACUGUAUAGAAGUGAAAUACCUUUAUUUGCUUAUUGUAUUAUUAUGGAAUAGUCUGUAGAUCGUCUAGCAAAUUAAGUGUGUUUGAGCGCACCUCGUAAGAUACUUCUCAUCCCCCCAUAUCCCCUUAAUCCCCUCUAAAGAGGGGAUCAAGGGAUGAGGGAGAUGAGAAGUAGAAUCUAUGUCCCCAGAUCCCCCAGAUCCCCCUCCUUAAUCCCCUCUAAAGAGGGGAUCAAGGGAUGAGGGGGAUGAGGGGAUUAGAGGUGCACUCAAACUAUAAAAAAAAUUUUAUUAACUCUCCGUAGGAGCCCCCGAAGGGGAAGAACACUUAUCUUGUGGUAGCUAUAUAUAAAAUUAGUGCCUCAAAUGAUGUAGUUUUCUGCUUGGGUGCACAUGAAAUUAUGUAUGGUGGCGGUUAUAGACUAGAAACAUCUAAUUCUAUGAUCUAUGGAUUAGGAUAAAGGUACCGUGAGCGAUACUUAGAGGACUAAGAGAACCAAAAGGUUUAAAGUAGCGUUAGCGAUACUUCGAUUAUACGAAGAUAAUGAUUCAUAGAAAAGGGAUAACAUUUGCUAGGAGACAGUUUAUGCGGGGCACAGACCCCAUAAAGAGUAGAUGGGAGUGUCUAAGGAUUGUGAUGUUGAUUGCGGCGUAAGCUCGUGUUUGAAUUUUUAAUCACGAAUCCCCUCCAGGGGUAUAAAAUCAGGGAUCUGGAAUAAAUCUCCUAAGGGGAUCGCAAUUAUUAAUUUUUUUAAUAUCUCUUUUUAGGUGCUUAUCGUGCACCUAAUAGAUUCUUCUAUUAGGUGCACGAUAAGAAAAGAAAAGAAUAUAAUUUUGUUUGCAUGUAUUAUAUAACUUAGUUGUAUAUAAUCCUUUGCUAGUACGACAUAUGAGGGCGUAUAUAUUAUUAAAAGGGUAAGAUUUAAGCUAUAGUGAAAUUAGCUUUAGUAAAAAAAAGUACUUAAUAAUAAAAAUUAAAUUAAACGAAAAGCAAAUAUAUUUUGUUUUGUAUAAUAAUACUAUUAUGUGUAGGGUGGGCUAGUUUGAGCGCACCUCGUCAGAUACUUCAGAUCCCCCAGAUCCCCCUCCUUAAUCCCCUCUAAAGAGGGGAUCAAGGGAUGAGGGGGAUGAGGGGAUGAGAGGAGCACUCAAACUCGCCAUAAUGGGAUAAUUCUACUUUUUUUCUAGUUAUUAAUUAAUACUUAGCAGUAUUUUUAAUAAUAAUGUAAACUAUUUACCAAGUUUAACGGCUUAAUCUUGCUUUACUGUUUGAUUCACAACAAAUCUUACAGUCGCGUAAGCGGGGCAUAGGAUCACAAGACACAUAAAGGAAAGGUCUUGGAUUAUUGGAAAAGCUACGCUAGGGAUAACAGGCUAAUUUGCGCAAGAGUGUACUUAAUGAGUGCGCGGUUUGGCACCUCGAUGUCGGCUUAACUUCUCCUCUGGGAUGCAGGACCUCGGUAGGGUUCGACUGUUCGUCGAUUAAUAAGUUACAUGAGCUGGGUUAAAUACUGAGACAGUAUGGUUUCUAUCUUCUAGAGGGAAUUAGAAUAAAAUAAGGAGUAACCUAGUACGAAAGGAACGUGGGGAAUUAAGUUAUUCUGGGUAAUACCAGGGUAUACUUUAUUAACCUCUGGUUUACCUGUUGUUUAUAUGCCCGAUAUUAAUUUAGGUAUAAGGGUUAUUACUAUAAUAGUAUAGUGAAAACGUUUUAUACAGGGAUACUACUUUCACUUAGGUAGUUGAAUAUAACUAUGCUUGGGAAGUGUAGUUAUAUUAUAUAGUAUAGGCACGGCAGGAAAGCUAAGUUAGUCCAAGAUAAGUGCUGAAAGCAUAUAGGCACGAGGCUUACCUUAAGAUAUUUCUGAAAUAGACGUAAUAUAAGAUUACGAAAUUCCAACCCCACCACCAUCCACCUUGCUUUUGAAGUAAGGGGAUCAUUGGGGGGGGUGUAUCUAAGUGAUAUAGUAUGGGCAUAGGCUUUGUUUGUAAUAAUCAGG
rnacentral:rRNA from 1 species